rnacentral:rRNA from 1 species
GAUGAACGCUGGCGGCGUGCCUAAUACAUGCAAGUCGAGCGAACGGACGAGAAGCUUGCUCCUCUGAUGUUAGCGGCGGACGGGUGAGUAACACGUGGAUAACCUACCUAUAAGACUGGGAUAACUUCGGGAAACCGGAGCUAAUACCGGAUAAUAUUUUGAACCGCAUGGUUCAAAAGUGAAAGACGGUCUUGCCGUCCCUUAUAGAUGGAUCCGCGCUGCAUUAGCUAGUUGGUAAGGUAACGGCUUACCAAGGCAACGAUGCGUAGCCGACCUGAGAGGGUGAUCAGCCACACUGGAACUGAGACACGGUCCAGACUCCUACGGGAGGCAGCAGUAGGGAAUCUUCCGCAAUGGGCGAAAGCCUGACGGAGCAACGCCGCGUGAGUGAUGAAGGUCUUCGGAUCGUAAAACUCUGUUAUUAGGGAAGAACAUAUGUGUAAGUAACUGUGCACAUCUUGACGGUACCUAAUCAGAAAGCCACGGCUAACUACGUG